CAAAGACAAACCAAACCAGAAACACACACACUCUCUCUCUAUAUGGUUUUGAAAGUGGAAUCUAAUAAUCCUCUCCGAUGAAGAAGAAGAAGAAGAAGAAGAAGAGAAUCAAAGAACACCACUCCCAUCUCUCCCUCAAAAAACCCCAACUUGACCCCACUCAAAUCUCCCUCUUUCGUUCCCGAGACUCCCAUGCUCGAUGUCUCCAUCGUAAAAUGCACUUCCCCCCCAAUUUCGAUCAUAACCUCCUCUCUGAUACAUGAUUGCCCCAAAAAAGAAAGUUUUAGCAGGGAGCAGAUGGCUAACACCAUGAAACAGAAAAGGAAAACUAAAGUUAACCCUGACGAGGAAAAUAGCAUAGAUGAAGCAGUGGCAAAAAAGGAAGAAAGCAUUCACUUGAUGGAAGAAAAGAAGCUAAGAAAGAAAGAAGUUGCAGGCAGCAACUCUGAAGGCUCAAGCGGCAGAGUUGAAAAAAAUGGAGAAAGAAAUGCAAAACUGAGAAAAAGGGAAAUUUGCCCUAAAUUAUAUUGUUGCUGAAUUUGACUCUAGAUUAAUUGAGCAUUGCUAAGUUGGAGGGGAAUGGAGCAGUCCAAGCAGAAGGAAAAUGAUAAUGGUUGGAGAUUUCCAUCUGUUGAAGAGGUAAAAAAAAAACUUGAAAUGCAUACAAUUCUAAUAACUGCCUGUAUGGCGAUACAUAGACGUUUGGAAGGCAUUAUGGAGUUUAAUAUAUUUCAAACUCGUCUGCUGGUACUGGCGAAAUUAACCGCA